UAACACUAAACAAGCUUCAGGACAACAGUAAGAGAAGUGGAGUGACAUUUGGUGGCAUCAAAGACAAAGCUGCACAGUAGAGGUCUAACAACAGAAAACAACAGGCUCUCAGCAUCUGGAAGCAACUGAGAAGAACCUCUGUUACUGACCACUAAAUAGUGGGUUGUCAAUAUGAGGACAUUAAAAAAGCCCCAAAGACAACAUUAACAAAAGACAUCAUCAAUCCUGAGAUUUAUAAGAACAAGGAUCAAGAACUGCAUAGUCUACCGCAAUUAAGUUUUAGAGCUCUCCGUAGAUCUUGCAGAUGCCAAAAGUUUGUAUGAUUCUUAAAGCAGUUAGAGAAGCACACAAAAGGAUUCUGGUUUCCGCCCUCCUUCAAAGCGUGGAAAUUCAUCUGGAGUGGGAAGUAAACCCUUCCGGCCUCCUGCGCAGUAAGAGAUGCAGUGGACAGGAGACGUUGGAUUCAUGACAAUACUGU